AGUGGACGCUGGCGGUAGGCCUAACACAUGCAAGUCGAACAGCAGCACAGUAAGAGCUUGCUCUUACGGGUGGCGAGUGGCGGACGUGUGAGGAAUACAUCGGAAUCUACUUUUUCGUGGGGGAUAACGUAGGGAAACUUACGCUAAUACCGCAUACGACCUACGGGGGAAAGCAGGGGAUCUUCGGACCUUUCGCGAUUGAAUGAGCCGAUGUCGGAUUAGCUAGUUGGCGGGGUAAAGGCCCACCAAGGCGACGAUCCGUAGCUGGUCUGAGAGGAUGAUCAGCCACACUGGAACUGAGACACGGUCCAGACUACUACGGGAGGCAGCAGUGGGGAAUAUUGGACAAUGGGCGAAAGCCUGAUCCAGCCAUCCCGCGUGGGUGAAGAAGGCCUUCGGGUUGUAAAGCCCUUUUGUUGGGAAAGAAAAGCAGCAGGUUAAUACCCCGCUGUUCUGACGGUACCCAAAGAAUAAGCACCGGCUAACUUCGUG
rnacentral:rRNA from 1 species